rnacentral:tRNA from 1 species
GUGGUGAUAUAGCUCAGUGGUAGAGGGCUUGCCUACAUGCAGGAGACCCUGGGUUCAAUUUCUAGCACUACA